GUUAAACGUGUUCAAACCGCACUCAAAAGAUCGUAGAAUCAUUUUUGUACACCACUGUACCCGAUCUUAAUGGACGUGGUCCUCUAUUACUGACUGAAUGUUCAAGUCGACGUCGUAUCGGUGUUCUUUUCAUCGCCGCGUUAAAUUACACCGGUACCGUUUAACCGUUAGAGUGAAAGUAUAGCGUAGUUUGGGUGGUGUCGGUGUAGGUGUCCUCAGUUUGACGUUGAUACGUUGGUAAUUAUACGUCUGAAUUUCGACCGUACUGAACUAUUUUUUUUAGGCACUCUACAUGUGGGGUAUAUGAGAGGGGUAUAUGAACGGACUGGACUUAAAGAGCUCGCUUCAACCUUCGUCGCGUUCCACGUAAACAUCUAGUACCCGUAGAACGGUCACUAGAUACGUGAUGAGGGAAAGAACCAUGAGCCCAGUGAUCCUUUCGAUUGACGCAAUCGUAGACCUCAACAUUGUUCGAUGUCAGGUCUUGUAUUAUCACAAGGGGCCUCACGGAGCGAGCUUCCAACGCACUUCUGUACACCGUUAGACUCGAAGCUGAUAGGGAAACCGUAGCCCAGCUCCACGAGGGCACCCGGACUAAAGUUAGAGAGAACGUUGCUCUGGAGGGUUGGGGGGUUCGAGAAGAACGUGCUGCCGUAGUGGCUCCAUUGGCCGCUAUAGCUACACUUACCAAAGCCGUGACGUUUAAAGUAGUCGUGGAGGAAGGCCGUAUGGUAAGGAAACUUUAGACCACAAUUUCACAUACUGAACAGCGACUUUAGUGGACCCUCCAGGAAGUGGGUACCCAUGUGACAAGAUUUGUAGUAUCCAACGCUGGACCUACACAUAACCCAGUUGCUGUUGUGGCCGUGUCGGUCUGCGCAGACGUUUUGACGCACGUACCUGGAUCCUUAAUGCCUCUACCACCGAUGCUUCUUCACGUUACCGCAGCCAACGACAUCAAAAGGGUAGCUACUGGUAUCGUAGCUGUGAAAAGUGGAGUUUAAACAUAACGCGGUAUCCUUUUAAUUGUGGUCUCGUGCGGGAUUGGCCUGGAGAGGUAACACCCUAUCUUAGUCGUAUUGCCUGUCACCGCCGCGGUGACAAGUAACCUUAUACCACCUAGUUGGGUUGACACGACCGUGCCACGCUUUAUCCUGACGGAUACGGACAUAGUCGCUCGUACGGCUCACGCAGCUGUCAUGUAAAAAACUGACAGGUAACUGUGCACUACUCACGUAACUGAAGCCGUACUGUAGUUCGUUACCCAUGUUGACGUAGACGCCACGGCCGAUAUGUCCGUUGGGGAAGUAAGUUCUACCUACGAGGUUGCUGUUUCCCAUAUUAGGUUAACGUUCGUCUCGACUAACAUGGGCAAGCACACCAUUGUAAUCACACGUUAAGGGCAAGCCGAAUCUUCUCCCAACAAAACGCUCCCCUCUAAAAGUGGAGUUGACGAGUCAAUGCUGAAGUAGUCGACAGGAGUACAACCGUGUAGACCUCCAUUUGUCGUACUUACAACUACUUCCCUGGUAAUUAUAGUGGUUAGGACUCGUUUUUCCUCCUAAGUGGGACAGACCUCCAGAAAAAAUAAGUAUACCCUGUAACAAGAGGGGAGACGUUACCCAACGACGUUUAGAUUCAACGUAUCUCCGGGCUGUCUUAUUUUGGCCUAUACGAACACACUCAGAGUUGUCGUUCACGCAUCUUCAUUUGUGACGUCUGUAGAUACAACCAAUAGUGACGUUUACGCGUCUACCGAAGGUUCCUUUAGGUAUGCAGGUUUCACCAACAUCGCCAUUCGUGUUAUAUAGAGAAUAUUUUCUUUUAAACAUGUUAAUAUAGUUUCGAUUCCAAAUGUCGCUUUUAUGAAGCGACGUAGACCAUACAAAAUAGUACGUACAUCCGAAAAAAUGAACCGACUACAUGACGAAGUACAAUUAACUUAUAUAUGAUACAGAGUACAUAUAUCAAAACCCUACGUAGAAUAGUUCUAGAACAAUUAAAGUCUGUAACUACUCACGUAAGUCGGUUUGUUAACAUUUCCCUAGACGGUAUUAUAACUUCCUUCGAAGAAAACAUGACCUACAGGAGCGUUCUGACUCAUACUAGUUUGUUUUUACGUCACAUGAUCUUGCUUUGUUGUCUGAGACGAAAAUCCAUUCUUACAAUACCAUUGUAAACUAUCUACUGUAUCUUGUAAUUGAAUUUCUCGAACUACUGACGUCCAUAUUAAUAACCCAACAGAACACCUAAGCCACAAGAUGAAGACUCGAAGUCACGUAGUGAAGAGUAAGAAUCUACCUUUUAUUUACAAGUUUUCGUUGAUGCCUUUUUUAUAAAGGUCUUCUUGGUUCCAGAAGAGGAUCUUUGCAACUAUAGCAGACUACUUUGACGUUUACUCUUAUGAUUCUAAAAAAGCAAUCUUCUCGAUCUCUUCCGUUGUUUGUUGAAGCUAGGAUGUGCAUAAUAGCCUGCACCCCCGGUACCGUACCAAAUGUUUCCGUAUACAGACUAGUCACACAGCAACGUCAUUUUUUCAGUUUCCAGUAACUCGUUAGACUCUAGUCUGUUAAGUAAUUACUCCAGCGUCAGGAGUGAGUCUAUUUAGUGUCUUUAUAACACUUCGAGAAACCUACAACGGAGCUUUGGCUCCAAGGUGAUGACCACAUACUAAUACAUAGGUUGCCGAGUGACAGACUUCAAGAAGUACGGCUACGUUCACUACCAAAAAGGAAUAGAACCCCACUAAUAAACUCCUAACGAGAGCUUAGUCGUCCUCGAGAUAGAAUAGAGGUAAGAAGUCGAAGUCAUAGUUAGAAGGUAGCACUGCACUUCAGGAGUUUAUAAGAAAACCUACCCUUGAUGUGUCGAUUUCAAAGACUAAAACCGCGAAGGUCUAACCAAGGUUAGCUAGUUUGUGUAUAACAGUGCUUACACGUUCCAUGUAAACCCAUGAAUCUAGGUCUCAUAAAGGUAUGGUCCGUCGACUUGCCCUUCUCGCUGCACAUGUCAAAACCACACCAUGAUCACCUCAACGAAGAGUCUUACUUCGGACAUAAAUGUACACUUAGUCCGUGUCAGAUUUCAAACAGUUUGAUAAAGGAAGUCCUCAAGUUACUCCCUUCUUAGUGUCUAUAACGAUUAAGAGUCCACGAACUCCUCCGUUGGCUCCUUCUCUAGUUACCACAACGGAGAGAACGUCUCGCCACGAACUCCGAUGUGCCACUUCUUUCUGGUUGGUACUUUGUCCAACUCUGUCUUGACGUCUGAGAUGCCUGUUUUGCCUACUUGAGUAGAGUCGGUCUAGGCUCUUCACCUCUUGUCUACGUUGGUUCCAGCAAUUGAGUUUCCUCAUCUAUACGAGCCGUUAAUAGGCGUGUCGGUCCUCUAUCGGUUGCUGCGAUAUCGAACCUCCGUCUCAAGAACAGUAGAAGAUCGGACGGUGCCAUCUACUCCGAUAACUCGAAUAAUUAUUACCUAUUAAAGAAAGGGAGAAAACACUUGGACAUAAAGUCCGUAGUACUAACAUAGUCUAAGAGCCAACCUUAAUACGAACGAAUAUACACAUGUGACCAAAAUUAAUGGGUCUCUAUCCCUCACUUAAAGAUCGUAUACGUAACACAACUACU
rnacentral:rRNA from 1 species